GAUGAACGCUGGCGGUAGGCCUAACACAUGCAAGUCGAGCGGCAGCACGGUAAGAGCUUUCUACUACUGUUAGCGGCUGACGGGCGAGUAACAAGUGCAUAACCUACUUAUAUUACUGGGAGGACUUCGUGGAACAGUAUCUGAUACCGGCUAAUAUUACGUACGGGAUGGUUCAAAGGUGCAAGGCAGUCUUCGUGUCUGUUUGAGAUGGAUCCGCGCUGCAUUAGCUAGGUGGUAAGGUAACGGCAUACCAAGGCAACGAUGCAUAGCCGACCUGAGAGGAUGAUCGGCCACACUGGAACUGAGACACGGUCCAGACUCCUACGGGAGGCAGCAGUGGGGAAUAUUCGGCAAUGGGCGGAAGCCUGACCGAGCCAAGCCGCGUGGGUGAUGAAGGUCUUCGGAUCGUAAAACUCUGUUAUUAGGAAAGAACAUAUGUGUGAGAAACUGCGGACAUCCUGACGGUACCCAAUGAAUAAGCAACGGCUAACUACGUG
rnacentral:rRNA from 1 species